CAUGAAUCGUGAUUAUUAUGUGUUUCUCGGUUGUGUUCACAGACAGGGCGAGCCGGAUACGGUUUCCAGAGUUUUUUUUCACAACGCUCUAAGAACAACACUAGACGAACGGUUACUACUGAGUACUGACUAUUGGCGGCAAGUCGCGACGGAGGCGCGAAAGCAUGGAACAAUAGUGAAAGGUAUCCAGGGUUGUUACACCUGUUCAACUCUACAACGCGACGCACGAGGCGCGUCGACCGUUUUAAAAUUUUUUUGGCGCUCCCAACUGGCAGUAGAACUGUAGAAGUUACAACAUUAAAAAAAUUAAGAACAUUUUAGAUUCCGAGUGGAGCGAUGAAUGAAUUUGAUAUUACAAUAUAAUAAUUGAAGAUAAACAGUCUGGAAGGACACGUACAACCGAAGAGAAAAAAGCCUUGACAUUGAUAAAAACUGAAAAAUAAUGCGG